UUUUCGUCACAUUCGUGUUUCGGUUCUUCAUGACUUUUGUGUUUUGAUUUUGAUAUUAUUUGUGAACAACCAUGUCUAGACCACCUAUUAUAUUUUAUGAAUUGAAACCCGAUCAAAGUUUCGAUUUUUAUAUCUAAAGAUGCAUCAGCUGAAACACAUUUGGAUGGGCAACCCUCUGCAGUGAAGUCAAAUGAAACAGAAGCAAAUCAAGAAGAUGAAUCUGGUCUUGCAAAAAACAUAAAUCAGGAUGAUAAUAUUAUGGUUGAUAGUGUUUCCUUCCUAGAUUUAUGCAAUGCUUCAGUUUUGGAUGGAAAUCUUGAUGUAGAUGCUUCUAAUGUAGAGGAUAGAUGUUCUGAAGAGAGUUAUGAGGAUAAAGAUAAGUUUCAGGAUAAGAAAUCAACUUUAACAACAGAUGCGGAUAAUGACCAGCCCUCUCAUCCUAUUGAAGUUGAAGUAAAAUGCUCUAAUCAAGUUAAUCCCCUGCGGUUUGAGGUUAGAGCAAGAUGCCCAUAUUCAAGUAGAUGUUGGUACCAUUACUUUGGUGCCAUGCAAUGACUGGAUUUUAUACUUUAUAAUUCUCAUCGGUGAAGAAAUUGCAUUUUUCUACUCUUCAGGUGAGCCCAUACACCGGAAGGAUCCACCUCUAUACUUGCAUUUUCGGUAAACAUGCAAGACCACAACCACUUUAUGAAAAUUUCCGACCAGAAGACCUUGAGCUGAUGAUGAUGAGAAAAAUAUAGAGCCUGCAACUGUCAAAGAUAACGAUGUGUAUAUGAAUGCUCUUCUGGAUUUUGCAAAUGAGUGGAAGAGUUUAAGACCAAUUGCACGCAAUAAGUUACUUGGAAAACCAUUACAACUUCCUUUGGUUGUCGAACUGUGUUAUUUAAGUGAAAGUAAUAGCCACAACGAGAAGGGAUUAAUAAAUGGUGGAAGCAAACGGCGCAUGACUCCUUUAGUCGACAUCAGCUAUCCCUUACCAUCAGAUGCUGUUUGGAAACAGGUUUGUCAUCGAAGCGGAUGUGGUAAGAAGGAAAAAGAAUACACUCAAGGCUGGAGUCCGAAAGAUGGGCCUCUUUGUAAACUCUGUCAAAAGCAAUGCAUGUAUGUCUCAUACAAAUCAUGUGUUGCUUUAAACAUUUCUUAGUAGUAUAAAAUUAAUAAUUAUAUUUUCAAGGGUAAUAAUGCCAAGACUCCUGAAUGUUUUGAAGAUCUUUUUUGUAACCUUGUCUGCUAUCAAGUUUCUUAUUACUGCAAGUUUAAUCUUACUACAAUAUUUUGAAGACCUUCCUUUGCUGAUUUAAUUUUACUGCAAGUUUUUUAUUGUCACAGAACCAAUGAAGUUAUUUUAGCUGCCUCAUGAGCAUCCUGCUUGUCUCUUGUGUAAGUACUUUUCAUUCUUCUGAAUGUAUGAAUGUUGGGUCUGGAAUUAUAAAGGUUGCUAUUUUAAAGAAUCCAAAAUGAGUAAGGGGAUAAAAUGCAUUCUAGGUUAUUGACAGGGAUUUGGAUGAGAGCCUGCAAAAGACAUUCCACAAGUACUUAGAAAUAAGGGGAAUCAAACCAAACACAACAAUUUCUUGCAUGGGUACAUGAUCAACAAGCCAACGUCGAUGAAUGCAGUUGAAUUGAUAUCCAUGUCAAGAGUACUCAACCUGGAAAACUUAUUUGAUACAGAAUAGGUUCGAAAAUUCGCGUUAUGAGAUUCUUUCUAAGUUGUUUCAUGAUUGUGAUGAACACUUAAGCUAGCACUAUUUAAGGAGAGUAAAUUCUAAUGGCAGGCUGUAAAUUAUAUUGUUAAGGAGAGUUUUACGGUUGUUUUCUUAAAGUAUAUAUUGUGAUGUGGAAAUUAACACGUUGAGGUGAUGUCGGUGUUUGAGCUUAUGCAUUGAAGUCGGUGUUGAUGCAAACUUGGAAUGAAAUGUGAAGUUGUUGUGUUUGUUUUAAAAUUUAAAUGCAUUGUUUAGUGAAUUUGAAUUUGUGUUUUUACUGUAAAUUUGAAAUGCAUUGUGUAUGAGGAUUUUGUUUGGUCUGCAGGCUGUGUUUGAUUUUGGAGGAUAUAAUCAAUUAAUCUUGGUCUGCAGGUUGUACAUGCUGAAGAUUCUAUUUAUUUUCCAAUUUGUUUUGCAUUUUGUUGUUUAUGGACUUGAUGGAGACAGUGAGUUAUUUAAGAGAUAUAACAUAUAAGUAACCAACAUUUACUUGUGAGUCUAUGAUAAUUCAAUUUAGUUUCAACAAUUGUACUUCUUUUUGCAUUUUCAACAUGACCUUUACUAGGGACAUCUAUUAUUCAUCAUUACUAAUUUUUGAAUUUGUAUAUCACUCUUUAAAAAUUUUACUUUUGCAGGUACACAAUCACGAUUCUCAACACUGUCCUGCUUUUUACUGAUACCUGCACCAUAACAGCUUUUGUACUAGGUCUGCUAUAGCUUAUAUCCAUUUGAAAGGGCCUGGAUUAUCCUCGCUUCAUAGCAGCUUGUGUUGUCGGUAGUGUUAUUAGUGGCUAUAGGUAGAGAUGUAUUGUAUGUGUCAUGUGGUGUAUAUUUGGUUUUAUGUGGAGAUUGUAAUAUGAUGCUGCCCUUAUUAUAAAAUUAAUUUUUUAUUUAAAAAAGCUCUAAGCAAUUAACAAAUUGCUGUGUACGGUGUACCCAUCAUGAUAUUGAAAUGUCAAAGA